GACGAACGCUGGCGGCGUGCUUAACACAUGCAAGUCGAACGAAGUGGCAAACGGGUGAGUAACGCGUAAUCAACCUGCCCUUCAGAGGGGGACAACAGUUGGAAACGACUGCUAAUACCGCAUACUGAAGGAGGGGAUUGCGUCUGAUUAGCUAGUUGGAGGGGUAACGGCCCACCAAGGCGAUGAUCAGUAGCCGGGCUGGGAGGAAGAACGGCCACAAUGGGACUGAGAAACGGCCCAGACUUCUAAGGGAGGGAGCAGUGGGGAAUCUUCCGAAAUGGACGAAAGUCUGACGGAGCAACGGCGCGGGAGUGAUGACGGCCUUCGGGUUGUAAAGCUCUGUUAAUCGGGACGCGGUACCGGAAGAGAAAGCAACGGCUAACUACGUGCCAGCAGCCGCGGUAAUUC
rnacentral:rRNA from 1 species